rfam:Brachypodium distachyon strain Bd21 chromosome 2, whole genome shotgun sequence.
CUAAUACUCUCUCCGUCGAACAAAGAAUGUCUCAACUUUGACUAAAUUUGAAUGCAUCUAUACACUAAGUCAAAUCUAGAUACAUUCAAAUUUUAAUAAAUUUAAGACAUCUUUUGGUGGACGACGAAGGGAGUACCAU